rnacentral:rRNA from 1 species
UACGUAGGUGGCAAGCGUUAUCCGGAAUUAUUGGGCGUAAAGCGCGCGCAGGCGGUUUCUUAAGUCUGAUGUGAAAGCCCACGGCUCAACCGUGGAGGGUCAUUGGAAACUGGGGAACUUGAGUGCAGAAGAGAAAAGCGGAAUUCCACGUGUAGCGGUGAAAUGUGUAGAGAUCGGGAGGAACACCGGUGGCGAAGGCGGGUCUCUGGGCAAUUCCUGACGCUGAGGCGCGAAAGCCAGGGGAGCAAACGGG